rnacentral:lncRNA from 1 species
AACCAAACUGAUCUAACAGAAUUCAAAUAGAUCCACACCAGAUAAAAGUAUAUGUCUAAACCAUUUGGUUAAAAUUUUAAUCAUUUUAGAUGGUUUGGUUUAAAAAAGAACUGAAAAAUCGAAGUCAUUUAACUGGAUUAACUAAAUAUAAUAAUUAUAUUAAAAUUAAAAUGUUUUACCAUUUAACCUAAAAAACUAAAUAUAAUUUUAUAUAUUUUAAUUCUAAAUGAAUAGAAGAAACACUACUAAAAAUAAAAUAAAAAAUAUGAAUCUCUUACAUCAACAUCAAAAUUAUCUAUAAUAUUUAUACUAGGUUUGAAAAUAAUAAUAUAAAUUU